rnacentral:rRNA from 1 species
GAUGAACGCUGGCGGCGUGCUUAACACAUGCAAGUCGAACGGGGAACAUUUUAUGGAAGCUUCGGUGGAAAUAGCUUGUUCCUAGUGGCGGACGGGUGAGUAACGCGUGGGUAACCUGCCUCACACUGGGGGAUAACAGUCAGAAAUGACUGCUAAUACCGCAUAAGCGCACGGGAUUGCAUGAUCCAGUGUGAAAAACUCCGGUGGUGUGAGAUGGACCCGCGUUGGAUUAGCCAGUUGGCAGGGUAACGGCCUACCAAAGCGACGAUCCAUAGCCGGCCUGAGAGGGUGGACGGCCACAUUGGGACUGAGACACGGCCCAGACUCCUACGGGAGGCAGCAGUGGGGAAUAUUGCACAAUGGGGGAAACCCUGAUGCAGCGACGCCGCGUGAAGGAAGAAGUAUCUCGGUAUGUAAACUUCUAUCAGCAGGGAAGAAAAUGACGGUACCUGACUAAGAAGCCCCGGCUAACUACGUGCCAGCAGCCGCGGUAAUACGUAGGGGGCAAGCGUUAUCCGGAUUUACUGGGUGUAAAGGGAGCGUAGACGGAGCAGCAAGUCUGAUGUGAAAGGCGGGGGCUCAACCCCCGGACUGCAUUGGAAACUGUUGAUCUUGAGUACCGGAGAGGUAAGCGGAAUUCCUAGUGUAGCGGUGAAAUGCGUAGAUAUUAGGAGGAACACCAGUGGCGAAGGCGGCUUACUGGACGGUAACUGACGUUGAGGCUCGAAAGCGUGGGGAGCAAACAAGAUUAGAUACCCUGGUAGUCCACGCCGUAAACG